rnacentral:rRNA from 1 species
AUCGCAUGAUAUUUUUAUUAAAGAAUUUCGGUUAUCGAUGGGGAUGCGUUCCAUUAGUUUGUUGGCGGGGUAACGGCCCACCAAGACUACGAUGGAUAGGGGUUCUGAGAGGAAGGUCCCCCACAUUGGAACUGAGACACGGUCCAAACUCCUACGGGAGGCAGCAGUGAGGAAUAUUGGUCAAUGGGCGAGAGCCUGAACCAGCCAAGUAGCGUGAAGGAUGAAGGCUCUAUGGGUCGUAAACUUCUUUUAUAUGGGAAUAAAGUUUUCCACGUGUGGAAUUUUGUAUGUACCAUAUGAAUAAGGAUCGGCUAACUCCGUGCCAGCAGCCGCGGUAAUACGGAGGAUCCGAGCGUUAUCCGGAUUUAUUGGGUUUAAAGGGAGCGUAGGUGGAUUGUUAAGUCAGUUGUGAAAGUUUGCGGCUCAACCGUAAAAUUGCAGUUGAAACUGGCAGUCUUGAGUACAGUAGAGGUGGGCGGAAUUCGUGGCGUAGCGGUGAAAUGCUUAGAUACCACGAAGAACUCCGAUUGCGAAGGCAGCUCACUAGACUGUCACUGACACUGAUGCUCGAAAGUGUGGGUAUCAAACAGGAUUCGAUACCCUGGUAGUCCACACAGUA